rnacentral:rRNA from 1 species
CUAGUAAUCGUGGAUCAGAAUGCCACGGUGAAUACGUUCCCGGGCCUUGUACACACCGCCCGUCACACCAUGGGAGUGGAUUGCACCAGAAGUAGUUAGUCUAACCUUCGGGGGGACGAUUACCACGGUGUGGUUCAUGACUGGGGUGAAGUCGUAACAAGGUAGCCCUAGGGGAACCUGGGGCUGGAUCACCUCCUUAAACGAA